CCCAUAACCACCAACUCUCAGUUUGAGUCUGUUUUAUGGGUUGCCUCUAUUUUUUCCCCCUUUGUCCAUCGUUUUGAUUCUUAAAUUCCACAUAUGAGUGAAAUCAUAUGGUAUUUGUUUUUC